rnacentral:rRNA from 1 species
UACGGGGGGGGCAAGCGUUGUUCGGAAUUACUGGGCGUAAAGGGCUCGUAGGCGGCCAACUAAGUCAUACGUGAAAUCCCUCGGCUUAACCGGGGAACUGCGUCUGAUACUGGAUGGCUUGAGUUCGGGAGAGGGAUGCGGAAUUCCAGGUGUAGCGGUGAAAUGCGUAGAUAUCUGGAGGAACACCGGUGGCGAAGGCGGCAUCCUGGACCGAUACUGACGCUGAGGAGCGAAAGCCAGGGGAGCAAACAGGG